rfam:Schistocephalus solidus strain NST_G2 genome assembly, scaffold: SSLN_scaffold0005068
GGUCUCGUAGCUCAGUUGACUAGAGCGUUGGCUGUACUAAGUCCUUCCCCUUGCUGGCGUGGGUUCGAAUCCAACCGAGGCCG